AUUGAACGCUGGCGGCAUGCCUUACACAUGCAAGUCGAACGGUAACAGGUCUUCGGAUGCUGACGAGUGGCGAACGGGUGAGUAAUACAUCGGAACGUGCCCGAUCGUGGGGGAUAACUACUCGAAAGAGUAGCUAAUACCGCAUACGAUCUACGGAUGAAAGCGGGGGAUCUUCGGACCUCGUGCGGACGGAGCGGCCGAUGGCAGAUUAGGUAGUUGGUGGGAUAAAAGCUUACCAAGCCGACGAUCUGUAGCUGGUCUGAGAGGACGACCAGCCACACUGGGACGGAGACACGGCCCAGACUCCUACGGGAGGCAGCAGUGGGGAAUUUUGGACAAUGGGCGAAAGCCUGAUCCGGCAAUGCCGCGUGCAGGAUGAAGGCCUUCGGGUUGUAAACUGCUUUUGUACGGAACGAAAAGACUCCUUCUAAUACAGGGGGUCCAUGACGGUACCGUAAGAAUAAGCACCGGCUAACUACGUGCCAGCCGCCGCCGUAA
rnacentral:rRNA from 1 species